rnacentral:lncRNA from 1 species
AUUACGAACACCUGACCUGCAGUGCAGCAGAAUUCAGAGAGAUGUAACUUACUCCAGAGACGCACUAACUUGCACAGCAUUGAAUGGAAAAGGCUUUGUCCAUGUCCAGUUGAGGGGCAUCAAGAACACGCAGAUGGCCUAAACCUGUGUCAGCCUGGACAGACUGCAGUUCUGCUACUCCAUGCCAAGGCUUUUGUUUUCUGGAAGCUCCAUUUGAGGGCAUCAAGGACAUACUGAUGGCCUAAACCAGUGUCAGCCUAGACAGACAGACAUCUAUUGCAGUUCUGCUACACAAGACCAAACUCUCUGCUUUUGUAUGGAUGUCUGACUAGUACGGUGUUCUCUAAAGGUAUAACUGGAGCAAAACAACAGCAUCCGUUACAGUGAAAUUUGUGUUC